rnacentral:rRNA from 1 species
UACAGAGGUGGCAAGCGUUGUUCGGAAUUACUGGGCGUAAAGGGCGCGUAGGCGGCCUUCUAAGUCAGACGUGAAAUCCCCCGGCUUAACCUGGGAACUGCGUCUGAUACUGGAAGGCUUGAGUGCGGGAGAGGGUGGUGGAAUUCCCGGUGUAGUGGUGAAAUGCGUAGAGAUCGGGAGGAACACCUGUGGCGAAGGCGGCCACCUGGGCCGACCCUGACGCUGAGGCGCGAAGGCGUGGGGAGCGAACGGG